GAGGCAGCCACGAUCUGGUCCCUUGGCCUCCUGCUGUGCCACCUGGUCAUGGGGAAGCACCCGUUCAGGAGGGGCCAGGAGAUCAUCCGGGGGCGGAUCUUGUUCCCACGACGGCUCUCUCGAGAGUGCCAAGAUGUUAUUAAGAGGUGUUUGUCCAUGCAACCCUCGGACAGGCCAUCCUUAGAAGAUCUUUUCUGUCAUCCUUGGGUGAAGGGUGUUUCCCUGCCCUAGAAGACUGAAGAAAUCCACGUGCACAGUUGGAUCCAGGGACCUAGCAGGGAAGGAGAAGGAGCCCCUGGAGAAGCUGUUCCAAGUGGGGCUGGUGCUGGAGACACCAAGGACAACCUCAAAGAUGAUAAUCUCUUCCUUGGCCUGGCCAGCUGAAGAUGAUGGACUUGGAUUCUGGCACCUUCUUCAAAGCCAGGCUCCAGGUCCAAUUUGCAGGUGAGUCUACAGGCAUGGGGUUGCUCCCAGGUCUGG